ACAGUAACAGUUGAUCAUUUUCUUCCUCCUAUCUUUUCCUUGCGCGACCUUCACGGCCGUGUCCAUAAGUUCAUAAUCCGACGACCAAUUUCAAUGAUUCAAGCUCGGUUGGAGAGCUAACUCACACACGAACAAGAUACGACGGAUAUCGAGAUACAAACUUGGAUAAUCAAGGGAGCUUGACGAGAAUCGACGUUAUCUUAUUUAUGUUGGAUUGGAUAGCGGUCACUGUAGUCAGAGUCGGAUCAGACAAACCAUCUUCAUUGUGCCAGAAGUCAUUGGACUUUCACAAGCAUGAGUUCCUAGAGCUGCAGUAGUCAGUAGGUGUCAGUAUUAGAUAGACAUUUUGACUUUAAAUAGUAUUUUAUAUUGUAAACUCUAAUAUGAUAUUUUAAUGUCUAUAAAUGCAUUAUCUAAAAGAGUUU